rnacentral:snRNA from 1 species
AUCGCUUCUCGGCCUUUUGGCUAAGAUCAACUGUAGUAGUAUCUGUUCUUAUCAGUUUAAUAUAAUCCCCAAAGAGGAAUAAUCCCUAAUUUAGGCAGAUACUUACUGAGCACCUAUU